AACGCGAAGAACCUUACCUACCCUUGACAUCUAGCUAAUUCUGUAGAGAUACGGGAGUGCCUUCGGGCAGGCUAAGACAGGUGCUGCAUGGCUGUCGUCAGCUCGUGUCGUGAGAUGUUGGGUUAAGUCCCGUAACGAGCGCAACCCUUGUACCUAGUUGCCAGCGCGUAAAGGCGGGAACUCUAGGUAGACUGCUGGUGAUAAACCGGAGGAAGGUGGGGAUGACGUCAAGUCCUCAUGGCCUUUAUGGGUAGGGCUACACACGUGCUACAAUGGACGGUACAGAGGGAAACGAAGCUGAGAGGUGGAGUGAAUCUUGUAAAACCGUUCGUAGUCCGGAUAGGAGUCUGCAACUCGACUCCUUGAAGUCGGAAUCGCUAGUAAUCGCGAAUCAGCACGUCGCGGUGAAUACGUUCCCGGGCCUUGUACACACCGGUAUCUC
rnacentral:rRNA from 1 species